rnacentral:rRNA from 1 species
CCUACGGGAGGCAGCAGUGGGGAAUCUUGCGCAAUGGGCGAAAGCCUGACGCAGCAACGCCGCGUGCGGGAAGAAGGCUCUCGGGUUGUAAACCGCUUUCAGCAGGAACGAAAAUGACGGUACUUGCAGAAGAAGGUGCGGCCAACUACGUGCCAGCAGCCGCGGUGACACGUAGGCACCAAGCGUUGUCCGGAUUUAUUGGGCGUAAAGAGCUCGUAGGCGGUUCGGUAAGUCAGGUGUGAAAACUUUGGGCUCAACCCAAAGCCUGCAUCUGAUACUGCUGUGACUAGAGUUCGGUAGGGGAGCGGGGAAUUCCUAGUGUAGCGGUGAAAUGCGCAGAUAUUAGGAGGAACACCGGUGGCGAAGGCGCCGCUCUGGGCCGAAACUGACGCUGAGGAGCGAAAGCGUGGGUAGCAAACAGGAUUAGAUACCCUGGUAGUCCACGCCGUAAACGUUGGGCACUAGGUGUGGGUUUCAACCAACGAAAUCCGCGCCGUCGCUAACGCAUUAAGUGCCCGCCUGGGGAGUACGGCCGCAAGGUUAAACUCAAAGGAAUUGACGGCUGAGAGNGCGAGCGACACGAGGAGAG